rnacentral:rRNA from 1 species
AAUUUCUGGCUUGGCAAUUUUGGCCCGGUACGGUAACGUACUGUUUGUGCUGACUGUUGCCGGUCAUCCUUCUGGGUUUAACGUGUCGUGCCCUUCACGGGGUUGCGGCGCGCGAACCAGAUCUUUUACUUUGAAAAAAUUAGAGUGUUUAAAGCAGGCGUUUUGCUAUGAAUACAUUAGCAUGGAAUAAUAAUUUAGGACUUUGGUUCUAUUUUGUUGGUUCUAGAAUUGAAGUAAUGAUUGAUAAGGAGAGCCGGGGGCGCUCGUAUUCAAGGGCCAGAGGUGAAAUUCUUGGAUUCCUUGAAGACGAACUCAUGCGAAAGCGUU